GUCCGUCACACAUGUAUUCUUAAUUAACAAAAAUGAAGCAUUGAUUCAUAUUACUUAUAUAUUUUUAUAAUAUACUUACCUGCUCUUAUGAUGUAUUCUCUAAGAAACAACAACUUAUCUUUGAAGGAACAUUCUGAGCACCAAUGUAAGUUAAGUGCAUUUGAUUGGUCUUAAUAGGUUUUUGGCUGGUUCUCAUGCUGUGAUUUUCUCUUUAUUCAAAACUCUUUAGUUUUGCUUAAAAAAAAAAGAAAGAAAGAAAGAACAAUUUUUUUUAGCUUUCUGAGGAUAAUUUCACAAUACGUAUGAGAAACCAAUGUGAGUUGAAUUAAGUAGAUAUCUAAUAAGAGGACAGUGAUUGUCUUUAGAUUGGAAUGAUGUCAGCUGCUCAACUCAAAGUGUUCUCUUACUGGCUGAGCGGAGUACAUACACAGUAUACGUCUAAUAAGGAGGUUGCAUUGUAAAAAGAGGGAUCAUACCUAAGGUGACAGCCUUACAUUGCAAAUUUAUUUUAUUUUAGCAAGAUUUUAAUUUGAAGAAGAACUCAACAUGAAUCAAAAGCAGCCCUCCCUCGCAAAAUGUAUGUCAAUCCUAAAAUACAUCGUGUGCAGAAUAUAUAUAUAUAUAUAUAUAUAUUUCUGCACACACCAACUAAGAAGAAAUUAGAGGGACAUUGCUGAUGAUGGCUGACAUAGAAGAUCACUGACACACACAGACAAACUAUCUGACACACGCAAGCUUACAAAGAAGAAACCCCUUGGCAUACACACUCAAUCUCACUACAGAGACGCUCAUGACAAAAAUGACACACAGAGACUCUCAGGCAUACACACACAAAAAAAAAACUUACUACAGACAAGCUCAGUGACAGACACACACAAACACACACUCAACUCAGUACAAACUCACUAGCAGACACGCACACAAGAUCACUAUCAACAGGGCUGGAUUUACAUUGGGGCUAGUGUAGCUGAAGCUUCAUGCCCAUGUUCCUUGAAUAGGUACAAUGAUACAAAUAAAUAAAUGUACGUAUAUAUAUAUUUAUAACUACAUCUCAUGCUCUUGCUUUGUGCAGAAGGAAUUAAGUAUUGGGACUUAGAAAGGAUGCAGGGGAACAAAGCAAGUGUGGACUGCAGACUUUAAAAUAAUUAACAAAAAACUGACUUUGCAACCUGCGCAAAUGCUCUUGCUACUUUGUUCUCUCUACAGUGUGGCAUAUUACCUUUCUGUUACACUUAAUACAUCUACUUUUUUCUCUGUUCCAGACUGCUUACCAGGAGCUUCUGCCUGCAAAGAAGGGAAAGAGGAGAGUAGACAAUUGAGUGCUGGGUGACGGGGACACCAGGCAACUGUUCCCAGAAAGUGUAGAGCAAGCGCAUCAUUAGAUAUGUUCGGCACAAGCUCAGGAUACUGAAACAGCGCUGUUUGCAUAGUCCGCCCUCUUCCUCUGAAGUAAGAUGGUUUAGGUUCGGAGCUAGAGUGCAGGGAUGCAAUUUGCACCUUUUAUGUGGCCUCACAGUGCUGGCAACCGCAAAGGAGAAUAUGUGAGAGAGACUUACAGUGCUCCCUCGCUCCUUUCUACUACUAGCCUUCUGCUAACUUUGCAGGUAACAAAAACUGAUAGAACACCAGCUGCCAGUAACCUAUGUGACCAAGCCGACUGCACAAGUCCCCAGCACCUUCUUCAUCCUACAGUCUGAGGGGGAAGAAUAAAUUAAUAUAUAAUGAUUUCAGCAAUAAGGCUGCACUGCCUGGCCCCCAGUUACAACUGCACCAGGAAACCUAUCUUUAAGUUGUUUUCCAGGCCCAGAGAUUUCUGGGAGGGGCUUGUGUUGAAUAC
rnacentral:lncRNA from 1 species